GGCGAACGCUGGCGGCGUGCUUAACACAUGCAAGUCGAACGGUGAAGCGCCUUCCUUUUUGGUGGGUGUGGAUGAGUGGCGAACGGGUGAGUAACACGUGAGUAACCUGCCCCCUUCUUCUGGAUAACCGCAUGAAAGUGUGGCUAAUACGGGAUAUUCUGGGUCUGUCGCAUGAUGGGUCUGGGAAAGAUAUUGUUUCGGUGGGGGAUGGGCUCGCGGCCUAUCAGCUUGUUGGUGGGGUGAUGGCCUACCAAGGCGGUGACGGGUAGCCGGCCUGAGAGGGUGGACGGUCACACUGGGACUGAGACACGGCCCAGACUCCUACGGGAGGCAGCAGGGGGGAAUAUUGCACAAUGGGCGCAAGCCUGAUGCAGCGACGCCGCGUGAGGGAUGGAGGCCUUCGGGUUGUGAACCUCUUUCGCCAGUGAAGCAGGCCUGCCUCGUUUGUGGGUGGGUUGACGGUAGCUGGAGAAGAAGCGCCGGCUAACUACGUG
rnacentral:rRNA from 1 species